GAAUUGAUUAAAAAAAAAAAAAAAAAAAAAAAACAGCCUGACAACGACAUUGUUUGGAUGUCUAGCCAAUGGAAGAAAUUUCCUACAUCAAAUUUGCUAUGGGUAGGUGAAAAUAGGAAAUAUCCAGACAAGAUAUAUACCACGAAAAUUACCGCUCAAAGUCAGUAAUACUUUUUUGUAAUUGCAUCCUUCGACUUUUUGGAUUUGAUUCAAAAUAGCCUGAAUACCAAAUUUUUGGGAUAUGAUGCCAAUGGAAGAAAUGUUCUACAUUAAAUUUUCUAUGGAUUUUUGGAAUUUAUUCAAAACUGCCUGUCAACGACAUUUUUUGGAUAUCUUGUCAACGAAUUUUCUAUGGGCCUGUGAAAAUAGGAAGACUCUAGAAAGGAUGUAUACCAAGAAAAUUAGCGCUCAAUGUCAGUAAUUCUUUUUUUUUUGCUAUUUUGUCCUUCGAUUUUGUUUGGAUUGAAGUCAAUAUUGCAUCAAUACCACAUUUUUGGGAUAUGAUGCCAAUGAAAGAAAUUUUCUACAUCAAAUUCUCUACGGGUAAAAGAAAAUUAGAAGUGUCUCGACAUGUGACAAAAUGACCAGUAAAGCCACGUUUUCGACCAGUGAUGCUAAUGGAGAAAUUCUUCUGUACCAAAUUUUAGUAUGGGUCAGCAAACAAAUAAAAUCAUUACAUUCGAUAUAUUAUCGUCAAAAAUGCAAUAACAAA